UCUCCAUGCAAGAAUCUUAUAGGGGCUCCUAUACACCAAAAGAGCUUAAUCACAGCCUCUGAAUGGUUCAUCUUUCCCUACUACAAAUACAAAGCCUUUUUUAAGGCUCAUACCUGCAUAUACCUGAAUUGAAUAAUGUUCCUGAAGCAGCUACAGUAGCCAGUGAGGUGCAGUGAUCUGUGCCACCCACCCACAAAUUGUAUUCAAGUGGCACCUAUAUAUGUCUAUCUGGCCUGUGAAGACAGUAGUGAUCUGUGACUCUAAUAGUGUUCCUGAACCAGCUACAGUAAUCAGUAAGGUGCAGUAAUCUGUGCCACCCACAAAGUGUAGUCAAGUGGCAUCUAUAUAUGCCUAUAGGGCCUGUGAAGACAGUAGUGAUCUGUGACUCUAAUAGUGUUCCUGAACCAGCUACAGUAGUCAGUAAGGUGCAGUAAUCUGUGCCACCCACAAAGUGUAGUCAAGUGGCAUCUAUAUAUGCCUAUAGGGUCUGUGAAGACAGUAGUGAUCUGUGACUCUAAUAGUGUUCCUGAACCAGCUACAGUAGUCAGUGAGGUGCAGUAAUCUGUGCCACCCACAAAGUGUAGUCGAGUGGCAUCUAUAUAUGCCUAUAGGGUCUGUGAACACAGUAGUGAAUAUACAGUAAUAGAUUUACACAAACACUUUCAGUUCUCAUUGUGCUGACUAGGGAUGAGCGAAUCAAAUCUGACGAAUCUGAAUUCAUUACGAAUUUCAGGAAAAAUUAGCUUUCCAACUAAUCUGAAUAUCGCCCCCGAUUGGAUCGCACAAAUCGCUUCAUUAAACUCCAUUUAGUGCAACCCAGGCUCCAGGGAAUCUAAAAUGGCGGAUCCACAUGUGAGGACAUGGGGAAAGGAACUCUGGGAAGGCGGCAAGACGGGACAUUAUCUUGCUAUUCACGACAGCCUUGUGGACGAGAGUCAUCGGUGAUCUGCACUCCAGGCGGUCCACAGAGUCUCUACAGGAAUCCAGCACAGAUGCUCUCUUGAUGCUUUAUCUCUUGCUCUGUUCACUUAAUACGUCUACUUCAGACUUUUAGCUAUAGAAUACACAGAGCUAAUUAGUGACAACACAGCAAGACAUUGUUUUGGAGGACUGCAAAGAGUGACAAACCAUUGAGACUGAAGGAGACAGACUAGCAAAAUGGACCACAACUUAAUCGUACGCUAUUGGAAUAUUUAUUAUAUGACUAAACUAUUAAACUUCUGUC